rnacentral:rRNA from 1 species
UACGGAGGGGGCUAGCGUUGUUCGGAAUUACUGGGCGUAAAGCGCACGUAGGCGGAUUGUUAAGUCGGGGGUGAAAUCCUGGAGCUCAACUCCAGAACUGCCUUCGAUACUGGCGAUCUAGAGUCCGGGAGAGGUGAGUGGAACUGCGAGUGUAGAGGUGAAAUUCGUAGAUAUUCGCAAGAACACCAGUGGCGAAGGCGGCGCUCUGGGCCGGAACUGACGCUGAGGAGCGAAAGCGUGGGUAGCAAACAGG